GGUUUGAUAGCUCAGUGGUAGAGCGGAAGAUUGCAGAUCUUUAGGUCGCGUGUUCGAUCCACGCUCAAACCU